rnacentral:tRNA from 1 species
GGCCCGGUAGUUCAGUUGGUUUAGAACGCCAGCCUGUCACGCUGGAGGUCGUGGGUUCGAGCCCCAUCCGGGUCGCCA